GACGAACGCUGGCGGCGUGCUUAACACAUGCAAGUCGAACGGUGACCCUCGAAGCUUGCUUCGGGGUGAACAGUGGCGAACGGGUGAGUAACACGUGAGUAACCUGCCCCUGACUCUGGAAUAAGCGCUGGAAACGGCGUCUAAUACCGGAUACGACACGCCUCCGCAUGGGGAGCGUGUGGAAAGUUUUUCGGUCUGGGAUGGACUCGCGGCCUAUCAGCUUGUUGGUGAGGUAAUGGCUCACCAAGGCGAUGACGGGUAGCCGGCCUGAGAGGGCGACCGGCCACACUGGGACUGAGACACGGCCCAGACUCCUACGGGAGGCAGCAGUGGGGAAUAUUGCACAAUGGGCGAAAGCCUGAUACAGCGACGCCGCGUGAGGGAUGACGGCCUUCGGGUUGUAAACCUCUUUCAGCAGGGAAGAAGCGAAAGUGACGGUACCUGCAGAAGAAGCACCGGCUAACUAUGUGCCAGCCGCCGCAGUAAAAC
rnacentral:rRNA from 1 species